rnacentral:rRNA from 1 species
UAGGGAAUCUUCCACAAUGGGCGCAAGCCUGAUGGAGCAACACCGCGUGAGUGAAGAAGGGUUUCGGAUCGUAAAACUCUGUUGGUAGAGAAGAACGUUGGUGAGAGUGGAAAGCUCAUCAAGUGACGGUAACUACCCAGAAAGGGACGGCUAACUACGUGCUAG